UUCCUAGGCAAGCGCUCUACCACUGAGCUAAAUCCCCAACCCCCCAAGGGGCCUGUCUUGCUUCAUAAAGGGACAGGGUUGAUAGAAUUUCUAAAGGCAGCCGAGUCUUUCCCUUUGAACUUGUGGUGCAGAUAAGCUCCGUGAUACGGUCCUUUUCUCAGCCAGCCAGUUCUCUGGUCAAGUUUUGAAAGGCUUGGGAGAACAUGUGAUUUUUUUUUUAAAUAUCCUGGAGUAUUUUUCCAGGCCUGGGCAGCUCGUGGGUCAAUGCACAGCUAUUUCCGUGUGUGGGCAGGGUAGGAGGGCACUGUCAGUUCACGGAGGAGGGCCAGGGCCUGGCUGAUCUGAGCUGGUGGUUGCACAGAACAGCUCUUUCCUUCCCUCCUCCUGCUGCCCCCUCCCCCGCCCCCAAGAGCUGCAAAAGUGUCUUGCAGACCUGCUUGUGUCUACUUGCCUGUACCUGCCGCACGGUGUUUAUCCGGAGCUCUGAUUCCCUUACAUUGUGAAAGCCUGGACUUCCCACAUCUAGCGUGUAGCUGGCAGAACCCUGGUGGAUAAGAUUCCCAAGAUCUGUUCAGAUUUGAAGAGGGAUGAGUGUGCAGAAGGAACAGCAGUCCUCCUGGGGCUCCUGAGUUUUCAACAGUGCCUCUCGGAUGGUUCACCGUGAUCCUGGGAGACAAGGCUAUCAGAACAGAAGUUCCCAGGAUGAGGGGAACCCUGACAGGCACAGAGUGCUGGACUUGAUUUCUAAAGAAUGAACAGAAGAAAUGCUACUCACUGGGGUGGGGAGAAGGCAAGGGGGACCACCCUACUGAGGGUGGCCGGUCACACUGCCCUCUUUGUCUUUGGACCUUGAACUUACCCACUGGGCUUUCCUUUUGUUUCUAACCCAAAACCUCUCUUACCCUGACCAUGCACAGCUGUUAUGGGGGUCCCACAGUGGCGUGUGUGCCUGCCUGCUAUGUGGAACGGGCAGUCUGAAUGGACCUAUCUGGUGUAGGUAGCAUAGGAGAAUUGCAAUCGUAAGCCGACUUCGUUGUGAUGAUGUCAUAGAUCGUUGUGAUGAUGUCAUAGAUCGUUGUGAUGAUGUCAUGGAGAUCAUUGUGAUGAUGUCAUAGAUCGUUGUGAUGAUGUCGUGGAGAGCCUAUGGCCAAGUAGGCCAUCGUCACUGCCAGGGCACUGGCAGAAACUUCCUUUCUCCCCUGGAAUAUGCAGUGUGUGUGCACAUACACAGGCGCGCUCGCACACACACAUGAUGAUCUUGGAGAAAUCAGAUUAUACAGCCAUGCUGUCGGACAGCAGCCAUAUCCUCCUGACAGACCCCCAGGAGAGCCUUAGGACCAUUCACACACAGCCCUUCCAAGGUCAGCUGCUUCACAACAGGUUCAAAGGAGAAGGGUAAAAAUUAAGGAUUUUUAAAAGCCCAAACAUUCUCAGUUAUUAAAUGUUAACAUUUUUUAAAUGGAGAGAACUACAGUCUUAAAAAUUAUGUAUUUUUCUCUAAAAAAAAAUAGAGAUUUAAGGACAUUUGUCUUACCCACUGGACCCCGUUGACAGCGUGCUUGGCCAUACGCACACGUACACGUAUACCAUGCAUGUGGUGUGACAGGAAAUGCAAAAGGCAUGAAUGACGGGUGUCAGGAGGGCCUGGAAAAGAUGCACCAUUAAGUGCUACGAGGGAUACGCACUUGUCUGGGUUUUGUUUCUUGAUGCUGUGGUAAACUCCUGACAAACAGUAUGUGGGGAAGAGAUUAUUUGACUCACAGUUCUAAGUAACAUCCCGUGAGAGCAGAGAAGUCACUGGGAUAAGAGUUUGAGGGAGCCAGA
rnacentral:sRNA from 1 species